GGGUUGUGAGGUUAAGCGACUAAGCGUACACGGUGGAUGCCCUGGCAGUCAGAGGCGAUGAAGGACGUGCUAAUCUGCGAUAAGCGUCGGUAAGGUGAUAUGAACCGUUAUAACCGGCGAUUUCCGAAUGGGGAAACCCAGUGUGUUUCGACACACUAUCAUUAACUGAAUCCAUAGGUUAAUGAGGCGAACCGGGGGAACUGAAACAUCUAAGUACCCCGAGGAAAAGAAAUCAACCGAGAUUCCCCCAGUAGCGGCGAGCGAACGGGGAGCAGCCCAGAGCCUGAAUCAGUGUGUGUGUUAGUGGAAGCGUCUGGAAAGGCGCGCGAUACAGGGUGACAGCCCCGUACACAAAAAUGCACAUGCUGUGAGCUCGAUGAGUAGGGCGGGACACGUGGUAUCCUGUCUGAAUAUGGGGGGACCAUCCUCCAAGGCUAAAUACUCCUGACUGACCGAUAGUGAACCAGUACCGUGAGGGAAAGGCGAAAAGAACCCCGGCGAGGGGAGUGAAAAAGAACCUGAAACCGUGUACGUACAAGCAGUGGGAGCACGCUUAGGCGUGUGACUGCGUACCUUUUGUAUAAUGGGUCAGCGACUUAUAUUCUGUAGCAAGGUUAACCGAAUAGGGGAGCCGAAGGGAAACCGAGUCUUAACUGGGCGUUAAGUUGCAGGGUAUAGACCCGAAACCCGGUGAUCUAGCCAUGGGCAGGUUGAAGGUUGGGUAACACUAACUGGAGGACCGAACCGACUAAUGUUGAAAAAUUAGCGGAUGACUUGUGGCUGGGGGUGAAAGGCCAAUCAAACCGGGAGAUAGCUGGUUCUCCCCGAAAGCUAUUUAGGUAGCGCCUCGUGAAUUCAUCUCCGGGGGUAGAGCACUGUUUCGGCAAGGGGGUCAUCCCGACUUACCAACCCGAUGCAAACUGCGAAUACCGGAGAAUGUUAUCACGGGAGACACACGGCGGGUGCUAACGUCCGUCGUGAAGAGGGAAACAACCCAGACCGCCAGCUAAGGUCCCAAAGUCAUGGUUAAGUGGGAAACGAUGUGGGAAGGCCCAGACAGCCAGGAUGUUGGCUUAGAAGCAGCCAUCAUUUAAAGAAAGCGUAAUAGCUCACUGGUCGAGUCGGCCUGCGCGGAAGAUGUAACGGGGCUAAACCAUGCACCGAAGCUGCGGCAGCGACGCUGAUGCGUUGUUGGGUAGGGGAGCGUUCUGUAAGCCUGCGAAGGUGUGCUGUGAGGCAUGCUGGAGGUAUCAGAAGUGCGAAUGCUGACAUAAGUAACGAUAAAGCGGGUGAAAAGCCCGCUCGCCGGAAGACCAAGGGUUCCUGUCCAACGUUAAUCGGGGCAGGGUGAGUCGACCCCUAAGGCGAGGCCGAAAGGCGUAGUCGAUGGGAAACAGGUUAAUAUUCCUGUACUUGGUGUUACUGCGAAGGGGGGACGGAGAAGGCUAUGUUGGCCGGGCGACGGUUGUCCCGGUUUAAGCGUGUAGGCUGGUUUUCCAGGCAAAUCCGGAAAAUCAAGGCUGAGGCGUGAUGACGAGGCACUACGGUGCUGAAGCAACAAAUGCCCUGCUUCCAGGAAAAGCCUCUAAGCAUCAGGUAACAUCAAAUCGUACCCCAAACCGACACAGGUGGUCAGGUAGAGAAUACCAAGGCGCUUGAGAGAACUCGGGUGAAGGAACUAGGCAAAAUGGUGCCGUAACUUCGGGAGAAGGCACGCUGAUAUGUAGGUGAAGUCCCUUGCGGAUGGAGCUGAAAUCAGUCGAAGAUACCAGCUGGCUGCAACUGUUUAUUAAAAACACAGCACUGUGCAAACACGAAAGUGGACGUAUACGGUGUGACGCCUGCCCGGUGCCGGAAGGUUAAUUGAUGGGGUUAGCCGCAAGGCGAAGCUCUUGAUCGAAGCCCCGGUAAACGGCGGCCGUAACUAUAACGGUCCUAAGGUAGCGAAAUUCCUUGUCGGGUAAGUUCCGACCUGCACGAAUGGCGUAAUGAUGGCCAGGCUGUCUCCACCCGAGACUCAGUGAAAUUGAACUCGCUGUGAAGAUGCAGUGUACCCGCGGCAAGACGGAAAGACCCCGUGAACCUUUACUAUAGCUUGACACUGAACAUUGAGCCUUGAUGUGUAGGAUAGGUGGGAGGCUUUGAAGUGUGGACGCCAGUCUGCAUGGAGCCGACCUUGAAAUACCACCCUUUAAUGUUUGAUGUUCUAACGUUGACCCGUAAUCCGGGUUGCGGACAGUGUCUGGUGGGUAGUUUGACUGGGGCGGUCUCCUCCUAAAGAGUAACGGAGGAGCACGAAGGUUGGCUAAUCCUGGUCGGACAUCAGGAGGUUAGUGCAAUGGCAUAAGCCAGCUUGACUGCGAGCGUGACGGCGCGAGCAGGUGCGAAAGCAGGUCAUAGUGAUCCGGUGGUUCUGAAUGGAAGGGCCAUCGCUCAACGGAUAAAAGGUACUCCGGGGAUAACAGGCUGAUACCGCCCAAGAGUUCAUAUCGACGGCGGUGUUUGGCACCUCGAUGUCGGCUCAUCACAUCCUGGGGCUGAAGUAGGUCCCAAGGGUAUGGCUGUUCGCCAUUUAAAGUGGUACGCGAGCUGGGUUUAGAACGUCGUGAGACAGUUCGGUCCCUAUCUGCCGUGGGCGCUGGAGAACUGAGGGGGGCUGCUCCUAGUACGAGAGGACCGGAGUGGACGCAUCACUGGUGUUCGGGUUGUCAUGCCAAUGGCACUGCCCGGUAGCUAAAUGCGGAAGAGAUAAGUGCUGAAAGCAUCUAAGCACGAAACUUGCCCCGAGAUGAGUUCUCCCUGACUCCUUGAGAGUCCUGAAGGAACGUUGAAGACGACGACGUUGAUAGGCCGGGUGUGUAAGCGCAGCGAUGCGUUGAGCUAACCGGUACUAAUGAACCGUGAGGCUUAA
rnacentral:rRNA from 1 species